rnacentral:rRNA from 1 species
UACGGGGGGGGCAAGCGUUGUUCGGAAUUACUGGGCGUAAAGGGCGCGUAGGCGGUUCGCUAAGUUGGAUGUGAAAACUCUGGGCUCAACCCAGAGCCUGCAUCCAAAACUGGCGGGCUAGAGUUCUGGAGGGGGUAGCGGAAUUCCUGGUGUAGCGGUGAAAUUCGUAGAUAUCGGGAGGAACACCAGUGGCGAAGGCGGCGACCUGGGAAGAUACUGACGCUGAGGUGCGAAAGCGUGGGGAGCGAACGGG